GGGGCCGUGGCGCAGUUGGGAGCGCGUUUGACUGGCAGUCAAAAGGUCACGGGUUCAAAUCCCGUCGGCUCCACUA
rnacentral:tRNA from 1 species